AGAGUUUGAUCAUGGCUCAGAUUGAACGCUGGCGGCAUGCUUUACACAUGCAAGUCGAACGGCAGCACGGGUGCUUGCACCUGGUGGCGAGUGGCGGACGGGUGAGUAAUGCAUCGGAACGUGUCCUUAAGUGGGGGAUAACGCAUCGAAAGAUGUGCUAAUACCGCAUAAACUCUAAGGAGAAAAGCAGGGGAUCGUAAGACCUUGUGCUUUUGGAGCGGCCGAUGCCUGAUUAGCUAGUUGGUAAGGUAAAGGCUUACCAAGGCUUCGAUCAGUAGUUGGUCUGAGAGGACGACCAGCCACACUGGGACUGUGACACGGCCCAGACUCCUACGGGAGGCAGCAGUGGGGAAUUUUGGACAAUGGGGGAAACCCUGAUCCAGCCAUGCCGCGUGAGUGAAGAAGGCCUUCGGGUUGUAAAGCUCUUUCAGUUGAGAAGAAAAGAUUACGACUAAUAAUCGUGAUUCAUGACGGUAUCAACAGAGGGAGCACCGGCUAACUACGUGCCAGCAGCCGCGGUAAUACGUAGGGUGCGAGCGUUAAUCGGAAUUACUGGGCGUAAAGGGUGCGCAGGCGGUCUUGUAAGUCAGAUGUGAAAUCCCCGGGCUUAACCUGGGAACUGCGUUUGAAACUACAAGACUAGAGUGUAGCAGAGGGGGGUGGAAUUCCAUGUGUAGCAGUGAAAUGCGUAGAGAUAUGGAGGAACAUCGAUGGCGAAAGCAGCCCCCUGGGUUAACACUGACGCUCAGCACGAAAGCGUGGGGAGCAAACAGGAUUAGAUACCCUGGUAGUCCACGCCCUAAACUAUGUCAACUAGUUGUCGGGUCUUAAUAGAUUUGGUAACGAAGCUAACGCGUGAAGUUGACCGCCUGGGGAGUACGGUCGCAGAUUAAAACUCAAAGGAAUUGACGG
rnacentral:rRNA from 1 species